rnacentral:lncRNA from 1 species
ACUCCUCACCCAUGGAUUUUUCUCCUUAUGAAGGCGAGAAAUCAAGCAAUCAGUUUCCUACAGAAACUCCUCUUCAUCCUUCACAUUGCUCUACCAAUGCCAGGGAUCCACCUGUCUUCUCGGCAGAGGAUCCUGGAAGUAUUCGGAUGCCGCAGUUUUCUUUCUCAGCGUCCACCUCUCAGGGAGAAACAUCAACUAAAAAGCUUCAUGCUGUGAAGAAAUAUAGGAGGAAAGUUAAUAACCUUUUUCCUAAGAAAAAUCUUAACACUACCAUGCGAAACAAUCAAGAUAAGCAGGAGCCAGCUUCUACAUCUGUGAUGCCUGGUGAAUGUGAGGUUUGGCGACUAAGGUAUUAUAUUCUAACUCUAGAGCUUCAACAUUGUUGCCUUUUGAAUACUUAUGUUUCCGAGAUUUGAGAGAAGCAAUGUUUUGUUUCAGGGGAAAUCAAGCCUACAAAAAUGGUGAUAUGCGUAAAGCCGAGGAAUGUUACACUCAUGGUAUUAAUUCCUCCUCGUCGUCAAGUGAUAGCUCGCAGAAUGAUACUGUAAAGCCUCUUGCGCUUUGCUAUGGCAACCGCGCAGCAGCAAGGAUCUCUCUUGGAAGAUUGAGGGAGGCUAUAAGUGACUGUGACGUGGCUGCUUUACUCGAUCCAAGCUACAUUAAAGCAUAUAUGAGAGCUGCAAAGUAAGUUUAUUUCCCUGAAAAAACGGUUACAACAUGAGCUUUCAUAAUAUGAUCUUUUAACAUAUUAAUGUUAUGGACAUUUAAUAAUUAUCUUGACGAAAAAAGACUAUAAAUAAUUUAUUAUUAACAAAAGUAUGAAAUUAUUUACAAUUUGAUGACUAAUUCAUCACCUUUUUUUAUAUGUUAAAUUUUUCAUAGAAGUUUAAAAAUCAUUUUAUUUUCUUUAAACAUGUAUAACUAAUUUAUAAUCUUUUAUGCCAUACUAAGUCAUGAUAUAUUAUUUCUUCAUAUUUUACAUUAAUAACCAUUGUUUUUAUAUAUCGUCUACAAUUCUUUAAUUACGUCUAUUUGUUCAAUUUUGUAUAUGAUAUCGAAUAUUCAUCAUAAAUAGAUGGUUUAAGAAAAUUACAAAUACAUCAUUUAGUUAAAUAAAUAACUAUUUAGUUAAUAAUACAUCAAAUAUUACAAAUACAUCAUUUAGUUAAAUAAAUAACCAUCUCAAGAAAAGCUCAGUUCCCCUGGAUACUCCUCACCCAUGGAUUUUUCUCCUUAUGAAGGCGAGAAAUCAAGCAAUCAGUUUCCUACAGAAACUCCUCUUCAUCCUUCACAUUGCUCUACCAAUGCCAGGGAUCCACCUGUCUUCUCGGCAGAGGAUCCUGGAAGUAUUCGGAUGCCGCAGUUUUCUUUCUCAGCGUCCACCUCUCAGGGAGAAACAUCAACUAAAAAGCUUCAUGCUGUGAAGAAAUAUAGGAGGAAAGUUAAUAACCUUUUUCCUAAGAAAAAUCUUAACACUACCAUGCGAAACAAUCAAGAUAAGCAGGAGCCAGCUUCUACAUCUGUGAUGCCUGGUGAAUGUGAGGUUUGGCGA